rnacentral:rRNA from 1 species
GCAUAUCAAUAAGCGGAGGAAAAGAAACCAACAGGGAUUGCCUUAGUAGCGGCGAGUGAAGCGGCAAAAGCUCAAAUUUGAGAUCUGGGAUCUUUGGUCUCCGAGUUGUAAUUUGAAGAAAGUAUCUUUGGAUUUGGUCUUUGCCUAAGUUCCUUGGAACAGGACUUCAUAGAGGGUGAGAAUCCCGUGAGGUGAGGUGUCCAUUUCUAUGUAAAGUGCUUUCGACGAGUCGAGUUGUUUGGGAAUGCAGCUCUAAGUGGGUGGUAAAUUCCAUCUAAAGCUAAAUAUUGGCGAGAGACCGAUAGCGAACAAGUACAGUGAUGGAAAGAUGAAAAGAACUUUGAAAAGAGAGUGAAAAAGUACGUGAAAUUGUUAAAAGGGAAGGGCUUCAGAUUAGACUUGAUGUUUAACGAUACACUUUCCUUUUUGGUUGGUGCACGCGUUGUUCAUUGGGCCAACAUCGAUUUGAAUGGUAGGAUAAUGCAUUUGGAAUGUGGCUUCAUUCGUGAAGUGUUAUAGCCUUUUGUGAUACUGCCCAUUCGGAUCGAGGACUGCGUCUUUGACUAGGAUGUUGGCGUAAUGAUCUGAAGCCACCCGUCUUGAAACACGGACC